rnacentral:tRNA from 1 species
GCCCCUAUAGAGUAUAUAGAGCUCGUUAGACUUUCAAUCUAAAGGUGCCACAGGCUAGGGGUU